rnacentral:rRNA from 1 species
AUACGGAGGGUGCGAGCGUUAAUCGGAAUUACUGGGCGUAAAGCGCAUGUAGGCCGUGUGGCAAGUUAGGGGUGAAAUCCCAGGGCUCAACCUUGGAACUGCCUCUAAAACUACCAUGCUUGAGUGCGAGAGAGGAUAGCGGAAUUCCAGGUGUAGGAGUGAAAUCCGUAGAUAUCUGGAAGAACAUCAGUGGCGAAGGCGGCUAUCUGGCUCGUAACUGACGCUGAGAUGCGAAAGCGUGGGUAGCAAACAGGAUUAGAUACCCUGGUAGUCCACGCUGUAAACGAUGGAUACUAGUUGUCGGGCGACAAGCUCGGUGACGCAGCUAACGCAAUAAGUAUCCCGCCUGGGGAGUACGGUCGCAAGGCUGAAACUCAAGGGAAUUGACGGGG